rfam:Ricinus communis cultivar Hale ctg_1100012336537, whole genome shotgun sequence.
GGGUGCGAUUAUACCAGCACUAAUGCAUCGCAUCCCAUCAGAACUCCGAAGUUAAACGUGCUUGGGCGGGGGUAGUACUAAGAUGGGUGACCUCUUGGGAAGUCCUCGUGUUGCACCCC